rnacentral:rRNA from 11 species
AAGGCAUGCAACAACAACCAUAAAAACAUCCGAUCCUACCUGAUUUUGGAAGCUUAAGCAGGUUCUGUCCUAGUUAGUACUUGGAUGGAGGACUGUCAACAAAUACCAGAAAUAUAGCUUA